UUUAAUGAUAGCUUUUGUUAAUAUACAGUGUUUUGGAACGAUACAGAGAAGAUUAGCAUGGUCCCUGCACAAGGAUGACAUGCAAAUUCAUGAAGCGUUCCAUAUUUUU
ensembl:snRNA U6 U6 spliceosomal RNA